AGAGUUUGAUCAUGGCUCAGGACGAACGCUGGCGGCGUGCUUAACACAUGCAAGUCGAACGGAAAGGCUCCUUCGGGAGUGCUCGAGUGGCGAACGGGUGAGUAACACGUGGGUGAUCUGCCCUGCACUUCGGGAUAAGCUUGGGAAACUGGGUCUAAUACCGGAUAGGACCGCAUGCUGCAUGGUGUGUGGUGGAAAGCGUUUAGUGGUGUGGGAUGGGCCCGCGGCCUAUCAGCUUGUUGGUGGGGUGAUGGCCUACCAAGGCGACGACGGGUAGCCGGCCUGAGAGGGUGUCCGGCCACACUGGGACUGAGAUACGGCCCAGACUCCUACGGGAGGCAGCAGUGGGGAAUAUUGCACAAUGGGCGCAAGCCUGAUGCAGCGACGCCGCGUGGGGGAUGACGGCCUUCGGGUUGUAAACCUCUUUCACCAUCGGCGAAGCCUCAAGUUUUCUUGGGGUGACGGUAGGUGGAGAAGAAGCACCGGCCAACUACGUGCCAGCAGCCGCGGUAAUACGUAGGGUGCGAGCGUUGUCCGGAAUUACUGGGCGUAAAGAGCUCGUAGGUGGUUUGUCGCGUUGUUCGUGAAAUUCCCUGGCUUAACUGGGGGCGUGCGGGCGAUACGGGCAGACUGGAGUACUGCAGGGGAGACUGGAAUUCCUGGUGUAGCGGUGGAAUGCGCAGAUAUCAGGAGGAACACCGGUGGCGAAGGCGGGUCUCUGGGCAGUAACUGACGCUGAGGAGCGAAAGCGUGGGGAGCGAACAGGAUUAGAUACCCCGGUAGUCC
rnacentral:rRNA from 1 species